rnacentral:rRNA from 1 species
UACGAAGGGGGCUAGCGUUGCUCGGAAUCACUGGGCGUAAAGCGCACGUAGGCGGAAUGUUAAGUCAGGGGUGAAAUCCCGGGGCUCAACCCCGGAACUGCCUUUGAUACUGGCAUUCUCGAGUCCGGAAGAGGUGAGUGGAAUUCCGAGUGUAGAGGUGAAAUUCGUAGAUAUUCGGAGGAACACCAGUGGCGAAGGCGGCUCACUGGUCCGGUACUGACGCUGAGGUGCGAAAGCGUGGGGAGCGAACAGG